rnacentral:rRNA from 2 species
UGAGGAAUAUUGGACAAUGGCCGGAAGGCUGAUCCAGCCAUGCCGCGUGCAGGAUAAGGUCCUAUGGAUUGUAAACUGCUUUUAAUAGGGAGCAAUAAGGUGUACGUGUACACCGAUGAGAGUACCUAUGGAAUAAGCAUCGGCUAACUCCGUGCCAGCAGCCGCGGUAAUACGGAGGAUGCGAGCGUUAUCCGGAUUUAUUGGGUUUAAAGGGUGCGUAGGCGGCUAUGUAAGUCAGCGGUGAAAUUCAAGUGCUCAACAUUUGACGUGCCGUUGAAACUGCGUGGCUUGAAUGCGGAUGCCGUGGGAGGAAUGUGUGGUGUAGCGGUGAAAUGCAUAGAUAUCACACAGAACACCGAUUGCGAAGGCAUCUCACGAAUCCGCUAUUGACGCUGAGGCACGAAAGUGCGGGGAUCAAACAGG